UCCGGUCUAUCCGAAUUAUAGAAAGGCUUUAUAGAAAGUGUAGAACAUUCUAGUUCUAUGUAAUCACGUGUGUUGUUGCACGGUAGCAUUUGCCUAUUUCGUGGUAGCACGUACCGUAGCGUACUUGGGGCCACCAGCGCAUUUCGGGGUGGUGCUGUACUUUGUGCGCGACCUACUGGUUUUGUGGUGGUGCGCUGCUGCACUGUUUAGGAUCGUGCAGGGGGUGGUGCAGGCUCCCUAUUUUUCAGUUUGUUUAAGUUAACGGCAAGCAGUACCAAAUGCCGCGUUCAUGUGACGUCCUUGGGUGCCCUAACGGAACGCGCUGGACCAAAAGCAGCUCGGCCUCUGACCCCAACGUGAUUUACCACUGGGUGCCGGAUAAGGAACCCCGACGUUCCGAAUGGCUGAGUGCCGUGCCCAUUCGACGCUGGGGACGAAGCGAGUCCAGAAGGCUCGUCGUGUGCUCGCUGCAUUUUCGCCCAGGGGACUACGAAGUCAAUGCCUUCCUAAGCAAGUCGCUAGGGCUGGCCCGCAAAGCAGUGCUUUCACGUAACGCCGUUCCGUCAGUCUUGCCGGACUGCUUCGGAAAGCAAGAAGCGCAGCCGGAGGUUCCCAGUGGCACGGCCACUCUUACAUGGGCCCGAGAUGUGGAGAACCAAACGAACUUUCAAGAGAGCCUAGCUAUGAAAAUUGGCCUCUGCGCCGGACAUGCGAAACAAGUUCAGUGUUGUCUGCUCGCCCCUAGCGCGAGUAUUGGAGUUCAAGUGAACACAACAGUAAAGGACAGCAAAGAGAGAGGAACCCAAGUUGACAUGAUGAGUGCACCAGCUGCGUCAUAACAUUCUGUGUGAGCCAGAUGAUUUGACUCGCACCUUGGAUCCAACGUUUGGCGACCAGCAAUUGACAUGUCCAGUGCCCAGGAACUUCGCUGGUUUCAUGUAUUGCCAGCCAGACACCUGUGAUGGUGCUGAGGAUUUCCAGCAAGCUGGCCUGGUUCCCAUGGCCCUAGUUGCUGCUGACAAUCAUCAGGCGACAAAUUCGUAACCGGCAGACCUGGAUGAUGCAACAGAUCUCAGCUUGACAGGCCAAGGACAAAGGCUGCAGCUUGGUGCCAAGCCCAGACUAACAGCUCAAUCGCUGUCUGUUGAGUCUCAAAACCUUCAUCUGAAGCUGAAGCGGAAGGUGAAACGCCCCUAGAACUGCCACGUGGAACUCCCACGACGGCUGUCGUGUUACGGAUAAGCAUACCAUGACGGCCGUUUGGAAUACCGUCGGCGCAGACCAAGUGCCAUGACUUGGACAUGAAAGCAUGGUCCAUAGACAAGAUUGACAAAGUGUUGUGUCCUAUUGUGUUGUGUCCUGUUUUGCUCCGGCCCGUCUCAUCUCCAAUGCGACCGGCUAGCACUCCAGAUCGGUUUCAGGGAACAUGCUCCACAGCGGGGGACCCUCUUUACUACAGGGCACAAGAACAACUCGAUUUUGUCAGUUUGGCUUCUGCCUUCAACGGUGUUCGACACAACAAAGAAGCUUUUAACUGUUCUCAGCUGUCUCUGCCUUUUGGACUACCACGAGUUACAUGGACAUCCAUGUGCAACGAUGCCUGCAGACAUAAGAGAAUGCUUUGUAACUUCGCGUUGUCCUAGGGUCAGAAAUGUCGCAGCCUCCUAACUGUUGUGCGUGAAGUCAUCCCCUGCCUGCCGCAUGGACAAAACGAGAAUGCAGUUUGAUUUUAUCAGAGUACAUAUGACAGUGCUGGGUGCCCACCGUUAUGCAAAAUUGUUAAAAAUGCCUGAAAUUUGAAGUGGCCAGCUUCAAGGCACAAAAGAAAAAGUACUUGUGAUAGCAGACCGAGAAUGCAGCAGUUUGCUGCCUUUUUAUUUUUGGCAUAAGUUAUAAGAAAAGUGCUGCUCAAAGUAUACAAGUGUGAAUUCUCCAUUAAAGCUCUGUCAUAAUUUCUGUGA